rnacentral:tRNA from 1 species
CGGGUCGUAGCUCAACGGUGGAGCACGGCAAAAGCGUUGCCGAGGAGCCUGGUUCAAGUCCGGCCGACCCGACCA